AGUCAAUAGUGGCUGUGCCUGCUCUGUGGGAGAUUUCUAGUUUCUCCAGGACCUGGAGAAGUAUGAUACUGGCACCUUUUGUCUCAGCUUCUGUUCCUCUGAGUCCCGAUCAACAGGCAACACUCUAUAGG